rfam:Triticum aestivum genome assembly, contig: Triticum_aestivum_CS42_TGACv1_scaffold_158142_2DL
UGCAUACUCCUUCCAUCCUGAAAAGUUUGUCUUAUAUUUGUCUAGAUACGGAUGUAACAUCCGUAUCUAGACAAAUCUAAGACAAAAUUUUCGGGACGGAGGUAAUAUAUA